GUAUAUCCUCAGUGGGGCCCACAAAUCCCUCUCUCUCCUCUCCUCUCUCUCUCGAUUUUUUCUUGCUUUCAAAUUUAUUUUGUUCCUCAAAUUGCUGCUGACAUCACAAUUAAUAUGUAACUUAUUUAUCUUCUCUCUCCGCUCCUCUCUCUCUCUCUCUCUCUCUCCGGCGCGACUCCGGCGCUUCUCUCUCCGGCGCGGCCAGGACCACCCUUCUCUCGCUCAUGGGGUUGGGAGACGACGACCGCCUGAAGCCCCGCAGACAGUCUGCAUGAAUCGGUGGAGACCCUCUUCCACAGAAGCGCUCCCCGGCAGACAGUCGCACGACUCCGGCGCUUCCACAGAAGCGCUCCGCGGGCAGGGACGAAGGAGAAGCCCACUCCGGGCUCGUAGCUUUCACUCUCCCAAUACUAUACACCGCCGAUUUGUUCCACUUCAGCACCACCUUGGAUUCGGACGACAUCUCCGCCGAGAAACCUUCUCUCGGUUCUCUCUUUCUCUCAUUCUCUCGGUCUUUCUCUUUUGAGAUUGGCAAAUGAAUUGAUCUCGAUCAUUUUGAUUGUUUAUUAACUUGUGGAAUUUUUUGUUAUUUGGGUGAGGAUCCAGCUUUUAUUGUGCAGUUGAAUUUAGGAGGUUUAUUCCCUGCAAAGGCGCCGGUAAUGAAUAAUAAGAUGAGGAAGCAUAGAGCUGCGCCUCUAAACAUAUUCAUUCUUAAAUAAUUAAUCAUUUCAUCUCAUUGGGAUUUAUUUAUAUAGACUUAUAAGCAUUUCAACCAAUGAUUUUACUGCAGCGAAGUUGAUUUUUACUUUUAUUUGGGAAAAGAAAAUUAAAGUGUGUUAUAUCUCCAACAUUGUUAAUUACUAGUUUACUACUAGAUCAUUUCAUGGCACCUGCUUUGUUUUUAAAAGCAGACCGCUUUUCUUAUGCUUUUAAAAUGUAGUAAUAUUUUUUUUUUUGAGCAGAAGCUUUUAAAAUGUAAUGAAAAGGUUUGUAUGGGGAUAAAUCAAGAUCUUCUUACUUCAUUAUUCCAGAUAGAGUGUUAAUUAAUAGAAGUUCAAUCUGUCUUGCCAUUGUUUUCGCAAUUAAUCAAAUAAGAGGAUUGAGAUAUAUUUAUAUUAGUUCACAAAUACCGUCAAAAUAUGUUUUGGUACAUACACAUUCAAAAUCACACAUUCGUUGCAAUGAUGUUUAGAAUCAUAGGCUCAUAGCCUAUGACCGGUGGUUAUUUCUCAUCAAAAUAGUACAGAUUCGUCUCAACACUUAUUAAGAAAACAUACUAUUUGACAUAUUAUUUCAAUAGAUAAAAUUAUCUUAAUACUGCCUGCGCCAGCUCGCCCAGCUCUGGUAAACCAUCAAAACCCAGAAAAGGCACCAAGUCGACAAGUAGCAGUUCGGAUACUGAUAGCAGGCAUGGAAUCCCCCCUUCUAAAAAGAAUGCCAAAGACUACAUCUCCGCCGAGAACCCUUCUCUCGGUCCUCUCUUUCUCUCCGGCGCGGUAGGAGCCUUCUCUCUAAUUUCAUAAUCUUAUUAUUUGUCUUAUUUAUAUAAUCGUGUACUAUUUGUGUACUGAAGAACCAGGUUUUGUGUACAAUUUCGUGCACUUGAUAACUAUGGACGAUGUCAGGUUUCGUGUACGUCUUUGUGUUCUAAUUUAUAGAUUUCGUGUACUAUUCAUGUACUGAAGAAAUAGGUUUUGUGUAUGACUUCGUGUACUUGAUAUUAAUAAAUAAUAACAGCUUUUGUGUACUGUUUCGUGUUUA